CGGGUUCUCAGGCAUAGCUGUACAACAUUAUUGGCACGCGGGGCAAAUGAACGAAAAACAGCCGCAAAUAUAAUUGGACUCCAACACGUGUCUUGCCGUUAUAGCCAGCGUUCCCUUCACAGAGAGGAUCUGUUAAUGUUUGCAAUGGCGAUUACAGCCGCACUGGUAUUGACACUGAAUUAAACAGAUAUUUGAUUUUCUUAACGGGCCGUCGGACAAUCGCGUGCGCUGAAUGACGUUCUGAAGAAUCGCGAAGAAAGUGAAACGCGCUGCUCUUUCGCUCGCGUUUUGUUCAUUGACGCUGUUUUACUGUUAUCAUCGCUGUGAAAAGUAAGAGUUUUGUGUAAGACAGUAAGCAACGGCUUAUAUGCCGCCUGAAGUCGCGGAUCGGGGCGCGUCGCUAAAAGACCGACCGUUCAAGAAGAUUACCACACAAUGAAGUGCAACAGUCUGAUAGAUUCGCGUCGCAAUGUGUGGCCAAUCGAUUGACGACUCGUAUACUAUUGUGGAGUGUGCCUUCGUUUGCUAACCGUAUUGCUAUGUGAGACGCGGCCUGCAUGUGUAUCUGCACCCGUAGAUGGUAAUACUGUUCUUAACGGAAUCACAGUUAAUUACGUCGUGGAUAAGGAGGAACGUCGAUAAACUGUACCAUAGUUGUUGAUGUGCGAGGCGGCCAAAGGCGACGCAGGACAGGACGAUUUUUCUUAAACAGCAUCCAGGACGUUCAGAUAUGGACGAGUUAGCGGUAGAAAAUGCAUCUUAACUAACUGAUUGCAGGUUACUGAUUGAAGUGAAUCGUAUCGUUGACUUUAAACUCCUGCUGACUGUGAACCUCGAGCGCAGCAGAAGACUUCGACUUCAGCGUCUUCCGUCGACGGCAACACACAUCGCGUUUAUAAUACAACAGGAUACUGUGAACAGCAUGGCUCGCCGUGGCGCAUGGACAGUACCGUUUAUAUAGGUUAUGCUGUCCGUUAUCAGCUCAGAUCGCUCGACAGAAUAGCCGGCUUGAUAAAGCAUUUAGUUGUCGUUGUGAACUCAAAUUUAAGUGACUUUUUCCCUUGAGCACCGAUUCUGUCAUUAUGCAUCGUGAAGCACAACAAAACCAUCCGCCAAUCGACUUCGAAUCGUUCGAGGCGCGCCUUGCCCUUCUUGGCAUUCUCAUCAUGGUCAUCGUCGUCGGAAUAUGGGCCGCCAUAGCGUUUUACUGUUUUGUAAAACAUGAAAACAAACGGCUUAAACUCGACAAGUUCGCCAACAAAAGCACUCAACUAUAAGGAAAUCAAUUGCAGCAGCGGCAGUAAUAGAACUAGCAACAACAAGAGUGAAACAUGACGUUGUGAAGACGUCCGGCACGUCUACGGGUAACGGAGAUACUAUAUAUAUAUAUCUGUGUGUGUCUUUAGCGUACGGCGCUCAGUCAAUGUCGUGACAAUCACAUAAAUAUUUUCUUAAUAUUAUAGAAUUAUUUUGUAAAAAGGAACAUUUUAAUAGAUUUAUGACGUGUCACUCACUGAGUCUGCUGUUUCAUUUUUCGUCUAUUGAUCAUUAUGUAUGUGCAUAGUUCAGUUUGCCAAAUCUCAAUACUCGUCUGCGACUACGGCACUUUUUUUUUCAAAAGAAACAGAUAUUUUACAUUUAGAAACAUUUAGUGAAUGUAUAUUAAGAAGCUAUGUCCUGAAUUUCGCUAUUGUGAUGUACGGGAACACCGUAAUCCAACAUUGAACAACCAUAAAAUAGCAACUAAUGUGUAUAAUGGCUUGCAUGUACAUACGCGAAUAACAAUCCUAAUCUCACACAGAACGGACAAAAACAUUUAGCAAUUAUCAGUUUGAGAAUGUCACUUGCUGCCUGGGAAGUCUGUUUUAACUUUUAAAGAAGCCUUCUAACGGCACUAGAACACUUUCACUUAUCAAUGAAGCAAUCGGAAGAGAAACUGCGCUUAAUCGACGCAGGCGUCAAGACCUAGAAAUUUAAUUGUAAUCAAUGCGUUGGAAGGAUUGCCUUUGACAUUUUCUUUUGGAAACUACACAACAGCGUAUCUGAAUCGAGGCAAGAGACUCAAAGAUAUUAAGUUGAAGUCCUAGAUGCGUCUUAGUAUAUGGAAUAGCCUGGUCAUGGAGAGGAAUCACGUCUUCGUGAUUGUGCGACACGUUUUACGCGAUACAAGCGUUAGUGUGCUACAUUAUGAACUUUAGAAGUAACUGCGUACACAUAUUCAAGCAAAUGGAAUUUAAAUAUAAAUGGCGCAUCUUGGAAAACAUGAAACAGUUAGGAUGAGAAAGGCGGUAGUGAAAUGUGCAUGGUAGAUAUUCAUCAACGGUGUGUAGUUCUGUGAAAAGAUUUAGAAAUAAACGUAGAAACGGGAAAAUUCAUUCGAGCUAACACAUCAUAGAGCAACAUAAGUUUGUUGGGCUACGUCACAUAGUCUUUUAUGUAGAGUUUAAAAAGAUUUAAUCAUAGGCCAAAAGUUGACUGGCAAACGAUACGAGCCGUGGAACUGAUGUUAAUUAUAACGUUAGACAUGUCGCUGAUUCAACAGAAAUAAUAUAGAAUUAAGUUACAGAAACGAAGAAUAUGAGCUCAUAGCAUAAAAGUGCAAUACAACGGAAAGCUCACAAUGAAGUAGACAUCUGUAGUUAACGGGUUGAUUUCCUUCGUUACUAAAUAACCUGCGAAAUGUUGUUAGCUUGCUAUUUUUGCUGCAUAGUAGCGAUUGACUUCCCUGACCCGUACUAGUUAGUAUAGAACUUGUAUAGAAGAAUCGGCUGUCGCGUAUUAUUUGAUUGGAUAUCUAGGUUAUUACACAAUGAGAUUAGCUGCUCUUAUCGAUACCCUAUUCAAAUCUAAAUUGAAGACCUCUGUGCUGCUACAAUUUGUUGCAGCAAGACUUGCUUUCAUAACACACACACACACACACGUUAUGACUGAAAAUAAUCACAUAAGCCACUAUCGACAUACGUUAAAAUAUUCCUUUGUGUAAGCAUUGCCGAUUACGCAGGUUCAAUAACAACAGACCUAUUUUAUAUUGUAUGGGCCUGUAAGAUGUGUCUGUAAGAAAUUAUCAAUGUACACAGGUUAUUAUUCUGAUGCGCUAGGCAACUUCAUCAUUUACCCCCGUUAACUUUCAUAAAAUUCGACCAAAGCUGAAAUCGAAUAGCUAUUAGUGAUCUGCGUAUGCCCUUUGUUAGAGAACUGUUCGUUUCUAAAAACGUACUAGAACACUUAGAGUGGACGCUAAUAGUGCGAGCUACAAGAGUAAAAUCUAUUCGUAGAGUAAAAUGUGUUUCGAGAGUCGAAAAACUACAUCAGUAGGGUAGGACAUGUAUUACCCUGCUCGCAUAACUUGCAUACCGUUUUGGAAGUUUUCGUUUACCACAGAAAUACUCUAUUACAGGUUAAAGGUAGCGGCCUCUCUGUCACUAGUAGAUAGCAUUUUUGCAUUUGUUUAUGUAGUACUCCGUUGGCUGGUAUAUGUUGCCUGAAUCGUAGUUUGAACCAGUUAAACUUCCUGUGUCUCUGCCAGCGUACGACUUUGUUGCCUAAAAAAUAUUUGAAUCUUCUCAGGUAGUAUCUCUGGACAAAGAAAAAUACAACAUACGUAUCGCGAAUGACUAAUUUUUAAUACAAUAGUAACAAGACAUUGUGCAGUUUAUUUUCUUUCCAAUUCCGAAUAAAAUGUCGCGUAUGGAAACAGACUAGCCUCUACUUCCCUAUUUGAAUUGACUGAUUGAGAAAAUGCUGUAAGAUUUGCUUAUUGAAACAAUUUUAACACUAUUACAAUAUGUGUAGCUGUACUCACUUUUGUUGUUGUUACUAGCGGCUCUGUAUGAUGCAACGAUAAGUCCAAGCGCUAGACUAAAAUAACGAUGAUAAUUAUUAUGGGGUGUAAUAUGGCAUGAGAUCCUGUAGCAACAAUAACAUUGACGGAGCGAUAUCGCUUGUGGCCUAGUUUCACUCGCCAUCGUUGUCUUAAACUAAAAUAGUACUGAUAGCAAUAAUCCUCAAAAGAAGGUAAUUUAUUUUCGUUACGUUUUUCGUAUUCAGCUAUCGGCUUAUCACCGCUUGCGGUCGCCGUGGGGUCUCUGAUCAACGAACAAUUCGCAUCCUGACUUGCUUUUUCACCUUACACUUCAUUUCACUGUAUCUAACCGCGGGAAGUUUGACUAUCCCUCGGCAACAAUCCUAAAAAGGAUGAUGCGGGAUUUAGCCCGACCUGUGGCGUAACCUGUUAAUAGCGUACGCGUUGUUGUCGUCUUUUCAUCCAUUCCUCCGCUCAGUUGACUCACGCUGAUGGUUGUUGGGAGCCAAGCUACAUCGGGUAUGUCUAUGUGGUAGCUUAUGGAAAACGUAUUUGCCAGCUAUUAUCAGGAACACGUUGUGCUCCAAGUUCGAGCCCGAGCAUAAACACAUUUCGUUUCGUGAUGGUAACUAGUAGUUUGAUGUAAUGUCUAACGGUGAUAACGAAACAAAGAGAGGUUAGAUCAGCCCAUGAGGCUACAGGCAAUUGCGAUGGUUAGAGAAACAGAAAGAAGUAUAUUGGCUUGUCGAAAAGGUAUUGACUGAUUAAAAUUGAAGCAAUAACUUAAUUUGGAUGUGUGCCAUCUUGAUCAAUGACCUUCUAGUAAUUUCUUGAUAACACCAUCAUCCCGUCACUGUAGAACUUUUAUCGUUUUUCGGCGAACAAUUGGGACAGAUUACUGUUGCAUUUUUCCGCUCAAACUAGGCCAACUCCUACCUAAAUCGAUUGCAGUCUGACGACUGUGCGAGACCUGCGUCCCAAUUUUGGGCGGGUCGCUAAGCAUACGUGGUGCGACGUUGCCCUGGUUCGAGAGUAUGUCCUUUUCUGGUCAGUUUUUUUAAUGACUUCUUAUGAUCAUGUUAGUACAGGUUCUGAUCAGUUAUUUUGCCGGACGGCAUCAACUCUUAACGCACGAGUCGCUUCCAAUCCUACCAGACACACAGCAUUAGUGUGUGCUUUGAUUGAUGAUUAAAUCCAACGGCACAUUUUUUGCACACUAUUGUCGUAUCUGAUCCACUGUUAAUCAGCGGUAAAGAUAAAGGGCUUGAGAAAAAAAAAAAACGAAAUCUCGUUGCAUUUCUUUAGGAUUUACUAAAUGUGCUGCCAGUGAAACUUCGAGCUUCUUUUGAAACCACUUCUUUAAAUUGCUUGAUGUGCAGUUCAUUGGCGAUAUGAUGCCUACGCACAUGCCGACCUUGCUUUUGUAUAAUCAUUCAUCAACUUUUUCCAUAAUUGGGUAAGCACUGCAAAAAGCGUCUUUUACGUGGAAACUUUGAGGACGAAAACGUUUUUUGGGCCGUUUCUUCCAAUAACGCAUUUUGAAUAUUAGCGGCACAAUUAUUUUAUGGAUAUUUGCUAAACUUUUGCAAAAGUUACAUUAAUAUUUAACUCGCUUUUUUUCAAGGGAAUAAAUAACGAUUUUAGUACAGCUACCGCCGCCAAACCGCAGCUUUCAAAUGACGCUGAGAUCGUGGAGGACUAAUAUUAUCUGGGAUUUGUAACCUUGAAGCUAUCUAGCUUAAAAAGCGGUCAAUGCUUUUUCGACGACCUAUUACAUCUGUAUAUACUUAAUCGUGCUAUAACGGUCGUAGGAUACGAUCUAGUUGUGUUUAUUGUACCUGCUGGAGGGCUAUCGUUAUAACUGAAACUUGGAAACUCAAGAACCUUUGCAGAGCUAGUUACCGAUGACAAUUCGAUGAGCACAUAGUCAAUAUAUCGGAAGUACAGGUAUAUAGUGCACAUAGAUUAGAGUAGAUUUUUGAUUACGCCUUCAAUACAUUGCUGUUAUGAUCUUCAUGCAAUUGAAAAACCCAUAGGACGGCCAAUUUAAUUUUAUUAUUCAAUGUCCGAUUUACAAUUCCGUACAGAGGCACUGAACGCACUACAAAGAGCUACAGCUUACUAAUUAGUAGGUAUAUCGUCUACUCUGCACUAUUGGCUCUAUAAUAUCAUUUGUUUAUAUGUAGAUUAUUACUGAAAUUGUAUGAACCGCACCCAAUACUAUUUGCUAUAAAUGCUAAAUAUCCAGUAAUACAUAAAGUGCGACAAAUGUACUGAAUUUAUUAGUUCGUUCAUUUCAUAAAAUAUAAGAUGAAAAACAUCGCGACAGAAAUUGCAAUAGAACUAUACGCACUACUACUGGCUACCGGCCAUUUAGAUACUCUUGUGUUGUAGACAUCACAGCCAAAACUUCAGCGCCCGAACGCUAACUUAGUACGAGAAAGUCUGCCCUAAUGGCCGUGUGGCAACUUAGUUCUGCUGCUCGUGGUCGGUAAGUUGUGAUAAGUAACUACGAUAAUCGGCUCUGAAACUUCUGCGGCUCUUAGAAAGUAGUAAAGGUCUUCGCACGUGCGCGAUUGUCGUUGUGGCAGACGCCGCUAGAACACCCGAUAACAGUAACAGCAGCGGUAGCAAAGGCAAUGACAACAACAAACCACAAUUACAGUAAUAACGCACAUAUUACAAUAGAAAUACGGCCGGGUUUGCUUGCUAUCUGCGUCAAGCGCCAUGAUAACUAUCAGAAGCCCGAUUCGAUUCAGUCACGUUGGCUUUGCCGUUGUUUUGUUUGCCGCAGCGCUUGUUAUUACGGACUGCUGGUUGGUGACUGGUAUUCGCCGACUACUGAUAAAAACCGACUUUUGCUAAGGCUCCUUUUAUUAGAUGCCGUAGAAGUAGACGCUUACAGCUGCUAUAUGUAGGACGCAGGAAAGUUUCACCACAAAUUGUGGUUAAUGACAGGUUUCAGCCGAGACCUAAAACGGCACUUGGUGUGGAACGUGAUAUUACAUUGUAGUACAGGAAGAUGACGAAAACCAUGAAAAUCGUUUUCGAUCAUACCGAUAGCAAAGUUGUACAAGUAAUAAUGGUAGUGAUAGUGACGACGCUAAGCAACGGUGGAGGAAAUCCACUAACCAGAUUCGCGAUGUAACUCAUACAUCGAUGUGGCCUUGACGAAUGUGGCCACGAGAGAUACCGGCUAAGUAUGAUAGCUAACUAUUUCUAGGGGAACUAGUUUGCGUCCCAUUCAUACCUUGAUUAAUGAGCAAAAAUAAACUUCUUUUUUUUUAUCGAACCGCUCACGUUCGACAUUUGCAGGCGUAUGCUAUAAUAAAACUAUUUGUCCAAAGAACCUAACGUGUCCUUGUACUUCUAUGCAUGAUGAUGCAAUUGAACGAUAGCUGUUCCACUAAUGUGAUAUUUUUUGCUGAUAACAUACGUAGUUUUCGUCAAAUUGUACUGCUCUUGCAGGGAAUUCAAUUAUAUAUAUAUAUAUAUAUAUGUGUAUAAGAGGAGUAAGGAAUUUACACGACUCUCUAUUCUUCCCGAAAUUCAUUCAUUGUCUUGUAUCAAUUUUUCUUGAAUUAUAACAUUCUCAGCUAUUAUCUCCUCAGGAAUAUAUCCGUGAAUAUAACUUUUUAAAUGUAGCAACAAGGAGUCUUCUUAUAGGGAUAAGAUAUAAAACCGACGUGGGUUUUGCCUGAUUCAUCUACGGUUUCUCCAACAGACCUAUGAAACGGCAGGGCGUUUAACGUUUAUAAUAAUUCUUUACCUUCCAGAUCACUGAUCAAUGGUGAUAUUCGUUUGCCAACGCUCACCUUUGAACCACCAUUGCUUGACAUUUUUUCGUUCAUGAUUGCCAUGGCAAGAUGCUCAAAAGAGAUGCUUAAUAACAACUUAGACCGCAUCACUUCUUAAAAUCAGAUGUUAGUCCUGCUCCGCUGAAGUAAGCCCAAAUCAAAAUCCACAAAAAUUAAGCGACAAAAAAAUAUCAUUCUCCGCCAUUUUCGUCCCCAUUUAGAGCCAAUGUAAACUAUGAUUUUAUAUAAUAUAGAAUCUUUACGCGCACGGGUUCCGCAGACAUCCACGUUUACCAUAAAUCAAACCACACCAUAUAAAAAGGUCUCUAGAGGAGCGGAUAAUGCGACAAGUUAAGAGAUAACACUGAGCACGACUUAUACCUUUACACUGAGGUGGAAUUGAUAGUAAAGUUUUAGCCGAUCGAAUGGUGACUCUGAAUAGUUUAAUAUUCAGACCGUUCAGGUAUACCUAAUGAAGCAGACGGCGUCCUUUGGUAAAAUACCGCGCAUAAAAAAUAGCUUGUCAGAUGAUUCCUUUGAAUGAAAGGUAUAUGCAUUAGAAAUUGCGGCCCAGUGUCCAAAUGCCGAGGACGUGAUUUGAAUAAAUACAAAAAUAUUGUAUUGAGUCUACCAUAUAUCAUAUAUACAAUGUGUGUCAAGAAAUGAAAGUGAUGCUUUUGUUUAUCACAAAAUCUUUAUCAGUCAAAGAUUGGAUCUGUUUCGCAUUUCAGCGGAAGUAGUAUUACCAGGGGGCAAAAAUGUCUCACGAUUUGAAGACCUGUUGAAGUAUCCUUGUCAACCCAUUGAACUUAGAAUUCCGUACAGAUUUGUAAUAUUGGAUGGGACGGCCAGCAUGCUUCUAAGUGUGAGAGAACUUCGUUAAUGUUGGUUAAAAAUUCACUUAGUCUUCAUCUAUUUCAGCAAAACACCAUCCGAUCUACCCAAGUAAUCCACUUCAUUAACCUUUGCUUGCUACUGUUUUUUAUGGCUGUACAAGAUCAUUUCUAUUGACGAUUAAAACUCGUCACGCUACUCGUGCAUUCAAAACGUAUUGACAGUAAACAUCGUAGCACACAGAUUCUUCUACAUAUAUACAUGUAUAUGUAAAUCGAACCAAAAGAAUCAGUCGAUCUUUGCAGACUCCGUUUCUAUUCAAAUAACUACUAAAAAAUUAAAUAAUAUAAUUAUUUGAGAAUUUUGCACCUAUUCUCUGCGAGUUUUUAUGUCAAAAUGAUAUGACUAACCAAUAUCACUCGACCUCGCUAAUUGUUGAUAACUGAGAGACACAUGACAAAAAUCGGUAUACUGCAUAACCCAUAACAGACAAAUCUUGUACUUAGUUGAUCGAUAGGUAACAGUAGUAUAUAUAUAUAUAUAUAUAUAAUAGUGAAUAUAUUUUAUAUGUAAAACAGUUAAUAUAUUUACAGUUUUCGAUGGGCACGAUCGUGAUUUACAUACACACACGCAGAGAUAGAUAUGGCUGUUCUCCUUUAGUUGGCGCGGGCCAAUCUUGCUCACGAGAAAUCUUAGAAACGAUUUUCUUUUCUUACGUGUGUCCCGGAACAGCCUUCGGCUCGCGACCCUUUCCUGGGUCUAUAAACAAAUACUGCUAAGAUUUCCAUCCGUUGACUAUCGAAGGCAAUAUUUUUGUUGUUGUUUUUGCAUCAGUUUUAAAGACGGUCACACAUCGUUGUGGGCCAUUUUGGAGUUCGGAACGAGUUCUCAUUAUCUGUUAGUUUUCGCACUUCGAGGUGUCCUAGAUUGCUGCGCUGCCAUACGUUGCCGCUUUUACGAACUGGUGGACUUGCAGCUGCCCUUAGGAAUUUGGUUAUAUUCAAAACAAACUCAAGAAAACGCCGGAAAAAGGGAAAUGGGUUUCUUUAAAGUCUUGAAAGAACUAGCGACUAACCCUGUAUUGUAUGUCUCAGUUCCUGGUCUUAUUGUGAUGCAUUAUGGUUGGUUCAAAUUACAACAGAACAAAGAUCUUGUCCCAUCAGAACAACAAUUUACAGAACAGCCAAUUUUGAUUAUAUCGAGAUACAUCUACAUGGGGCUGAAAACGGGAACGUGGGAUAUGGAGGCUGCCCGUGCAGCUGGAAGGCCCAAAAGCAGCGAAGGCAAAUGUGAAAAGUAGUUUUCGGCUCUGCAAUUGAAAUCAGUUCAAUAAGCAAGAAAGGAGGCUGCCAUCGGUAGAGUUGAAUCACUGCGAGAGCUGUGACAGUGGAUGCUUCAUCAUUUUGGUAAGCUAUCUUAACACAAUUGUGCUAUAUAUUUAUAGGAAAUCGCGAAAUUACUUUAUAGUGUAUUGCAUCAUUGUGAGACACAGUUCCUUAAUACAACCCUCGCAAAUAGUUGCCACUACAGAUACUGAGAACUAACAAACUUAAUUGGAUGUGGCAGACUUGAAAUGCAUUCUUUACUUGUGCACUCAGUCUUUUCUGUGUACGGAUUAUCUAUUAAUUCCUUGGUAGGUUAUCCUUGCGGAGUACCCACAAAAAUAUUUGUAAUUUGCAGAAUGAGCUAUUUAUAAAGUCAUGUUUACCUUAGGUAUUUUGAUUGAAUAUAACGACCAAUUUAAUAACAACAAUAUACCCUAUAUGCUUCGGUGCGUGCCGCCUGUCUAUGUUUAUAAUUAAUCGUGAAUAACAGUAACUCAUCCAUUUCAAUUUAAUAAAAGUUGGGUGUUUGUAUGUGUACUAAGCGUCUAGUCAAAAUUUAUUAGGCGAUUGGCAGAGAUCACCCGUUUUAGCAAGAGUUAUGUGUACUGCUCUAUUCCGCAUGUUGUGUUGUUACUACAAGCUAACUCAAAUAGUCCCAUUGCCUACAGAUUAUAAUUAGCGAGUCUUUGGGGAAACUGAAGAGAAAGACGAAGGAGAGGAAGUUUUGAUACUUUAAAGGCAACCAGUGAAAAGCGCGAAAUUUCCAAGUGCGACUUGUAGUUGUCCCGUAGCACGCUCAGUGUAAACCGCGUAACGGCCUGAUCUUAUGUUGGAACAGAAAGUAGGUCUAUUCAGUUUGUAUCCUAGCAUCAGCACUGGGAUUCAUCAAAGGUCUACCACCCGAGCUCCUGUCGUCGCCGUUCGAACUCCCACUGUUGCCACUCGACUUAGUCUUCGACAGCGGAGCUCAUUGACAGCAUAGCAUCCCAGCUCUUUCGGCGUCUAGAGCCGGCUGUGUAUCACACGUGGUUUGCGGACGUUAAUAAGAUCGACGCCGGCACCACCAAGACAGAAAACAAGGUAGCGGGUAGACGAGAGUGUGUCUACGAAAAUGAAGCCACUCAAGCAGCCCUCAGCUCUGAUUACUAAAGUGCGGCCAACUGAAGGAUAGUCACACAAAUUUAACAAAAAUUGAAACCGACAAGGCCAUCGUUCAAAAUGUAAUCCAUUGAACGAAUUUUGCUUAUCUAACCGAUAACGUUAAAUAGAUUUUUGGAAUGAUAUUACCGUCUGACACGAUUUACCAUCUAAUAUUUACUCGCAGGUAUUAUGGAACAUCUUCGAGUUGAAUAGAAGGAGUAGGCACGUCCUCGGCCAUCAUAGAAGACAGAAUAGAGGAGGAACAGACAGAUUUGAAGCGCUCAACUUGGAGCCGCGGCUCACAGGAGUGACCAUUAUCUACUUCAUCGUUAACUUUGCUUCUGGAUAUUAAAUUUCUCUGGCUCAGUAGUUUCUUUCUAGCACAUUGUCAUUCCUUCAUGGUCAGUAGGUAUCACAGUUGCAACGGAUACGAUUAAAAUGCCGCGAUUUUCUACAACACGACGGUCUGUAAAUGCAGUCAAGAUAGGGACCGACGUAGAUUGACAGAAUUGGAGACAUACAGUCAUAUGAUAUGAUAUUCAUUCGAGGACAAUUGUGAAAAUAGGCCUUUCGAUGGACAAAACCUAUCUAAGGCAGCCUAAAAGCGCCAAAAAUCCACCAAAUAGUUCGCCGACCUUCAUUAUAUCUGAAGUAGUGUUUAAGGACUGCACUUGACGCACAAGUACCAACAUGUACUCUUUGCUUAACUAGACUAAACGAUAGUAAAAAGUACUGUAUUCAUUAGAGUAGGAGAUGAACGGGUAACGUGGCUUUAAUUCAGUCAGAGGAAAAGUGUUACUUUUUUUCCGGCCCAAAAAGAGUAGGUUUGGCUAUCGGCGAUUGAUUUAAUCUAAGGCAUAGCGGUAUUCUGGCAUUUUAUUGAUUUAACGGUAGCCGCUAUGUACGGCCCAUCGUUUCCAAUCGGUGCUGGUGUUUGGUUGAAAAAAGAUCAAAAACCUUCUACCAUAUGCUUACAUGUCGGGUAACGAGACGAACCGUUUGAUGACGACUGCAUCUGCGCUAAUUCUAAACCCCGUUCUACCACACAACUUCGUCUAUGGAUAUGCAAUCCGUAUCUUAUGAAUAUUGUAGAAGCGACCUGCUAUAAGGACCGAUCUUUCACCUCUAUAUUAGAACAGUGAAAGUGCAAAUUAACAAAUAGAUGGCAUUGCAAUAGACCUUAACUUAAUCAUAUUUACACAAAGUUUAUGUAAAUACACCAGGAAAAUAAAAUAAAUGGAUAUAAAUACACAGGCAUUAUAUAUAAUGCUUAUAUUAAAUAAUAUUAGAUAUUAAUUCGGGGGCUGACUUUAUCCCAAAUUAGGCUGUGUAAAUUUCUAUAUGAGGCAACAUAUAUAUUGCGAGUGUCUGUAAAGCGCAUCGGUAUUUGAGUUAACUUCAAUGAACAGAAUUAAAGUGAGUCUUUUCACAAGUAUUUUAUUACAUUUUAAAAGACAUGAAACAUUGCAGUUAGAAAAAUGUUAUUUAAGCUUUGAGAACUGCAUAAUGUCUGGUUGGUUUACUGUUCCUACAAAUAAAGCCUAUAAUUCCUUCCAAGAUUGCAUAUAGAAUAUGUCAUGGGAAGUAAAGUAAUAUGAUUUCAUCUAG